UACGAAGGGUGCAAGCGUUAAUCGGAAUUACUGGGCGUAAAGCGUGCGUAGGCGGUUUGUUAAGUCUGCUGUGAAAUCCCCGGGCUCAACCUGGGAAUGGCAGUGGAUACUGGCAAGCUAGAGUGUGUCAGAGGAUGGUGGAAUUCCCGGUGUAGCGGUGAAAUGCGUAGAGAGCGGGAGGAACAUCAGUGGCGAAGGCGGCCAUCUGGGACAACACUGACGCUGAGGCACGAAAGCGAUGGGGAGCAAACAGGG
rnacentral:rRNA from 1 species